GAUGAACGCUGGCGGCGUGCCUAAUACAUGCAAGUCGAGCGAACGGACGAGAAGCUUGCUUCUCUGAUGUUAGCGGCGGACGGGUGAGUAACACGUGGACAACCUACCUAUAAGACUGGGAUAACUUCGGGAAACCGGAGCUAAUACCGGAUAAUAUUUUGAACCGCAUGGUUCAAAAGUGAAAGACGGUCUUGCUGUCACUUAUAGAUGGAUCCGCGCUGCAUUAGCUAGUUGGUAAGGUAACGGCUUACCAAGGCAACGAUGCAUAGCCGACCUGAGAGGGUGAUCGGCCACACUGGAACUGAGACACGGUCCAGACUCCUACGGGAGGCAGCAGUAGGGAAUCUUCCGCAAUGGGCGAAAGCCUAACGGAGCAACGCCGCGUGAGUGAUGAAGGUCUUCGGAUCGUAAAACUCUGUUAUUAGGGAAGAACAUAUGUGUAAGUAACUGUGCACAUCUUGACGGUACCUAAUCAGAAAGCCACGGCUAACUACGUG
rnacentral:rRNA from 1 species